rnacentral:lncRNA from 1 species
CGACAUGAAGGUAAAGAUGGUCUUGUGUGAUCACUAUUCAAGUGACCCCCGAUAUUUCGUCAUGCCUCUAGCUAAGAAGCCUAAGCCCAAGCUGAAGAAAAACAGUAAUGUCAAAACUCUGGCCCUAGCCUGCAAUGACGUGUGUUCUCCCGCAGCACCCGCUGGGAGAUUCCCUGCUCUGUGGCGCUACCUGCAGCAGUCCAACAGACAGCCUGUCAUUGGUGUUGGUAUGUUGACAGAGUUGACAGAACGAGAUGGUGACUACGUCCUGUGUGGAUGCUGUUCUCACAAGAUGUUUCCAUCCUCUGUCACCUCACACGUCAUCUCUUCCAGACACCGCUACUACUACAUAAGAAUGGCACAUCCUGAGCUGGCUGUUAAUUGGCCAGAAAGUCCAGCGCUGAUUGUGUAUAAUGGGCCUCUUCAAAGAGAGCUGAGAGUGCAAGCUAAAGAACUGGAGGGUCAGGAAGGACCUGAACAUCCCCAGGUGGUGAAAGAAACAUCUGCUACAUCGGGAGGUGGACCCACAACCUGCCCAGAAGAGGUUGUCGAACAGAUCCAGAUUCACUCCGCUCCUGUCUCUGUGGAAGAGGAACCGGUUAACUCAGAGCCAUCACAGCCCCUCGGAGAAAAGAAAAAGACGAGGAAUAGGGGCAAUCCUGUGGUUGGAGUGAACUUCCUGGUCCGGGUGUCUCACAGAAAUAGGAAACAAUACUACUGUCAGCUGUGCUCCGUUAGGGUGAAGCAUCCCGUUAUUGAUCACAUGACCAGCCUCCGCCAUCGACACAGCUAUGUGAAAUUGAAGUACCCCAGUUGGACCUCCGACUCGGAGGCAAAGCUGUUCAAGAUGGCUUUUCACCUGGAGAAGGUGGAUCGAAGCGCUGGACUGGGCAUGCAGAAAGUAGAAGUGGAUGCUGUUGAAUUCAAGGAUCUAAGGUCUUGCCCUGUGGAGGAAGCUCUCAGUAAACUGCAGGCCAUUAUCAUACAGCAACAAGAGCCAGGUGAUCUGAAGAUGCAUCCCUCAACCAAUCAGAACCCAGAAGAUCUGAGACAGACUGCUCCCUCAUUGAGACCUGUCAGUGCCCAAGGGCCAUCUAACGGUAACUUCAGCUCGCUAUAUGAGCGCACAAUAUCGGACUUUCCUGAAGCCCGAAGUUAGUCAUCUGUUGUUAUUUAUUGUUCUUUUAACACUGUUCUUAGUGGGAAAUGGUAAUACAAACAUUUACAACAAUUUUAUGUUGUAACUGUUCUUUAGCUGUAGCUGUUCUUUAGCUGAAACUGUUUUUGCAAAAACUGCAACCAUGUGCUGUCUCUUUACGCAAUGAUUCUCACUUAGGUGUGAAUGGGACGGGGUCAAUUGAGGAAGAGGGGCGGAGUCCUUUCAGGGAAUCAGAGCAGGCCUAUGGCCUGACAGCCCUCACUGCUCUUUCUCUCUCCACUCACUGCUGUCUCUUU